rnacentral:rRNA from 1 species
ACUACGGGCGGCAGCAGUGGGGGAUAUUGGACAAUGGGGGGAACCCUGAUCCAGCGACGCCGCGUGAGUGAAGAAGUAUUUCGGUAUGUAAAGCUCUGUCAGCAGGGAAGAAAGAAAUGACGGUACCUGACCAAGAAGCCCCGGCUAACUACGUGCCAGCAGCCGCGGUAAUACGUAGGGGGCAAGCGUUAUCCGGAAUUACUGGGUGUAAAGGGAGCGUAGACGGUUAAGUAAGUCUGGAGUGAAAGGCCGGGGCCCAACCCCGGGACUGCUCUGGAAACUAUUCAACUUGAGUGCAGGAGAGGUAAGCGGAAUUCCUAGUGUAGCGGUGAAAUGCGUAGAUAUUAGGAGGAACACCAGUGGCGAAGGCGGCUUACUGGACUGUAACUGACGUUGAGGCUCGAAAGCGUGGGGAGCAAACAGGAUUAGAUACCCUUGUAGUC